UACGGGGGGAGCAAGCGUUGUUCGGAUUUACUGGGCGUAAAGGGCGCGUAGGCGGCCACCGCAAGUCGACUGUGAAAUCUCCGGGCUUAACUUGGGCAUUGCAUUCGAUACUGGCAAGCUAGAGUAUGGGAGAGGAAGGUAGAAUUCCAGGUGUAGCGGUGAAAUGCGUAGAGAUCUGGAGGAAUACCGAUGGCGAAGGCAGCCUUCUGGCCUAAUACUGACGCUGAGGUGCGAAAGCAUGGGGAGCAAACAGG
rnacentral:rRNA from 1 species